rnacentral:misc_RNA from 1 species
UGGCUCUCGCAUCGAUGAAGAACGCAGCGAAAUGCGAUAAGUAAUGUGAAUUGCAGAAUUCAGUGAAUCAUCGAAUCUUUGAACGCACCUUGCGCUCCUUGGUAUUCCAAGGAGCAUGCCUGUUUGAGUGUCAUGGAAUUAUCAACUUCUAUAGCUUUUGUUGUAGAAGCUUGGAUGUGGAGGUUGUGUUGGCUUGCAAAGGUCAACUCCUCUGAAAUGCAUUAGUGUGAACCUUACGGAUCGCCUUCAGUGUGAUAAUUAUCUACGCUGUGGUGUUGAAGUAUACUGUGUCAUGCUGACAACCGUCCGCAAGGACAAUUUUGACAAUCUGACCUCAAAUCAGGUAGGACUACCCGCUGA